GACGAACGCUGGCGGCGUGCCUAACACAUGCAAGUCGAGCGAGUGAAUCUCCUUCGGGAGUGAAGCUAGCGGCGGACGGGUGAGUAACACGUGGGCAACCUGCCUCAUAGAGGGGAAUAGCCUUCCGAAAGGAAGAUUAAUACCGCAUAAGAUUGUAGCUUCGCAUUGAAGUAGCAAUUAAAGGAGCAAUCCGCUAUGAGAUGGGCCCGCGGCGCAUUAGCUAGUUGGUGAGGUAACGGCUCACCAAGGCGACGAUGCGUAGCCGACCUGAGAGGGUGAUCGGCCACAUUGGGACUGAGACACGGCCCAGACUCCUACGGGAGGCAGCAGUGGGGAAUAUUGCACAAUGGGGGAAACCCUGAUGCAGCAACGCCGCGUGAGUGAUGACGGCCUUCGGGUUGUAAAGCUCUGUCUUCAGGGACGA
rnacentral:rRNA from 1 species